CAGAAAACCUUCCGGGAGAUUUCAGAAUGCUUAAUGUGGGGUGUUUCUCUAAUUUCCUGUGCCUCCUUUUUCUGAGAGAUGAGAAGCUCUGAUUGCUUCACCUCCUGUGACAGAUGUGCUGAAAAUCAUUCUUUAAUGCAAACGUUUCAAGUCGUCUGUCAGGAUCAGAAGCCAAACAGAAAAUGGAUGAGCGGCCAAAACUACUUCGUAGACCUCUGCCUCCUAAGCUGCCGUCUAAACUAUCUACACCAAGGGAGAAGGUUGGUAAAGGCAAGGUUUCUGGACAAUACCUAAGUAGAGUGAUGAAGUGUACAAAUGAUGAAAAUAGAAAAGCAGUGUCUGGAGGUUAUGUCAGUGCUCAAGGGCAAGUCAAGCAGAUGGAUGCUUCCCUCAGCCAUGGUCAGAUUUCCCAGAGUCCGCUGCAAAUCCAACCCAAAGAUACAUUUCUGUCUGUUCGUCAGGUUUGUCAUGAUCAAACACAAGUCCAACGCAAAGACCUCUUUCUUCAAACUCAGUUCCUACUUGGCAGUACCCAACCCCAGUCUGAACACAUUUCUUCUUGCCCAAUACAUUUCCAAAGCAGACAUGUAUGUCAGUUUAAGCAAGGUAAUAACCAUGAGCAAAUAGAGAUCCAGCCCAAAACUACAGGUUUGCAUGACCAAAGGAAAUUUAAUGACCAAUAUGAAAUUAUUCCUGUCUAUGCAAGCAGCCAAAUGCCAAACCAAAGUGAAGAGGAAAACGUCUUUUCUGUCCAAACUCCUAGAAGCAGUUUUGUUACUACUAAAAAUCUCAGUGUGCCUGAUAACUUUGCAUUUUGCAAAAAUCAUAAAUCCUCUCGUGUGAAGCACCAAGAAUUACUGCGCACUGGCCCCAACCAUUUCACUCCUCCUGUAUUUACACAGGAAAAUCUAGCUGCAGGUUCAUCCUUUCACCAUCUACCUUUGAAGACGACACUCAAAAAGCCACUUGUUUCCCACUACAACUGCGAAGUCCUCAGUAGCAAGUUAAUGACUGAAAACAGGAGCUUGCAGACUGAAGUUAACACAGUGAUGUUAUCUGAUAUCGAUUUACCAGUAGUUGAAACAAGAAAGCCUGAGCAACAGAAAAUCCUAGAAAUCACCUCGCAAGAGAAAAUAAGAAAAUCUGGUUCGCCGGAACAACUUUUGCAAGAACAAAAGAAAGAAAAAGGAUAUAUUAUACACUGUGUAAAGCUAACUGAACCUGGAAGAGCAGAAGGACCCUUUACAGACUCUAAUGAUGGCCCUGAUGUUGUUAGUGUGGACAGUGCUUGGGAAACCAGUUUCCACUUAAUAGCAAGCAAGCAAGAUGAGGAGGAAAAACUGAUGUUCAGAUCCCAAGUGAAAGUAUGA
ensembl:lncRNA